AUGUCUCAUUAACUACCCUACGAAGUUGCUGACACUGGUUUGGCUGCCUGGGGGUGGAAGGCCCUGGACACUGAGGAGAAUGAGAAGCCAGGCCUGAUGCACAUGCAGGAGCUGUACUGAGCCUCCAAGCCACUGAAGGGUGUCUGCAUCACCGGCUGCCUGCACGUGACCGUGGAGACAGUUGUCCUCACUGAGACCAUCCUUGUCCUGGGUGCUGAAGUGCAGUGGUCCAGCUGCAACAUCUUCUCCAUCCAGGACCAUCAGCAGCUGCCACUGCCAAGGCUGGGAGUCCAGUGAAUGCCUGGAAGGGUGAAAUGGAGGAGAAGUACCUGUGGUGCAUCAAGCAGACACUGUACUUCAAGGACAAGCUCCUCAACAUGAUUCUGGACGUCAGUGGGGACCUUACCAACCUCACCCACACUAAGUACCCACAGCUCUUGUUGGGCAUCAGAGACAUCUCUGAGGAGACCACGACUGAGGUCCACAACCUAUACAAGAUGAUGGACAGUGGGAUCCUGAAGGUGUCCACCAUCAACGUUAAUGACUCUGUCACCAAGAGCAAGUUUGACAACCUCUAUGGCUGCCACCAGUCCCUCAUAGAUGGCAUCAAGUAGGCCAUAGGUGUGAUGAUUGCCAGCAAGGUAGCUGUGGUAGCUGACUAUGGUGAUGUGGGCAAGGGCUAUGCCCAGGCCCUGCAGGGUUUCGGGGCUCGCUCACAUCAUUAUCACCGAGAUCGACCCCAUCAAUGCACUAUAGGCUGCCAUGAAGGGCUAUGAGGGGACCACCAUGGACGAGGCCUGUCAGGAGGGCAACAUCUUUGUCACCACCACAGGCUAGGUUGACAUCAUGCUUGGCUAGCUGCCCAACAGGCACUUUGAACAGACGAAGGAUGAUGCCAUCGUGUGUAACACCGGACACUCUGAUGUGGAAAUCGAUGUCAGGUGGCUCAACAAGAAUGCUAUGAAGAAGAUGAACAUCAAGCCCCAGAUGGACCAGUACUGGCUAAAGAACGGGCGUGGCACCAUCCUGCUGGCUGAGUGUCAGCUGGUCUACCUGGGUUGUGCUAUGGACCAACCCAGCUUUAGGAUGAGUAACUCCUUCACCAACCAUGUGAUGGUGCAGAUUGAGCUGUGAACCCACUCAAACAAGUACCCCACUGAGGUUCACUUCCUGUCCAAGAAGCUGGAUGAGGCAGUGGCUGAAGCCCAUCUGGGCAAGGUGAACAUGAAACUGACCAAGCAGACUGAGAAGCAGGCCCAAUAUCUGGGCAUGUCCCGUGAUAAUCCCUUCAAGCUGGAUCACUACCACUACUGA